ACAUGUCCUCUCCUGGUCCUCAUGUGUUCCUGCUGGUCAUCAGACUGGACGAAUAAUACACAGAGGAAAAGAAGAAGACCGUGAAAUGGAUUCUGGGGAACUUUGGAGAAGAAGCUGCUCGCCACACCAUCGUUCUGUUCACUCACGCAGAUUCACUGAGGAAUAGACCACUGAAGGAUCACAUAGAGGACAGUCCAGAUCUACAGUUAAUAAUCCGCUGUGGUGGCAGAUAUCAUGCAUUCCACAAUGAGGACAAAGCCAAUCAAACUCAAGUCAACAAACUGAAGAUGGAUAAAAUGGUGCAUAGAAAUUAAGGGAGCAACUCUGGUAGCAGCAGAAAGAAGUAAAGUAGAAGCUGUAUUAUUAACAAUAGUAGCACACUUAAAAAUUGUGCCGUUAAAUAACAGUAGGGGUGCCACUGAAGUACUGUUAAUUUACAGCUCUCAACCAUUAAUUUACAACUCUUUUAUUUUUUCAAGUGUUUUACCAUAUUUCAUCCAUGAAUAUUAACUCCACUCCCACUGCUUCAAACAAAAUGCGAGGUAUUUAAAUCGAUUUUGAAUGUGCUUGUUCAUUUUACUUACGGUUUUGAUUUAACGGUUGCGUGAACUCUUGGCGGUGCCGAUGAAAUACAUUCAUUGUGUCAGAUGUCCUGCAACUAAUCCUCAUUUGAUGUUCUUUAUUUAUCACUUACAGAAGUAAAUAUCUAAAUAUCCAGAUGUGCACAUUAACAUUAUCAUGAGUAAGUGAUAGUGAGUUCACUUGCUGAUUCCUGCAGAGGUUUGAUGGUAUUCAGGAGUCAGACCAAACCUGUGCCACAAUACGAGUAUAUUCUCUGAGCUUUCUAUGAGUUUGUGAAUGUUGAUCUGUGUGAAGAGAUCUUUCUUUUAAAAGAAGCAGCACAACAAGACAAACAGGUUUUCAGCCCAGGCUGCAUUUUUACAGUUACCAAAAGUUAGACAGAGCUGCGAAUGUAAGUCCAAGAUCCCUUUCCAGUGAAUCUUCAUCUUUUUCUAAAGGAUUGUCACUGAAGAAACAUCAAUGAUAAAAGAUGGCGCCUGUUGAUGAACUGCUUCUGAAGACUCUGGAUGAUCUGGACUCAAACAAACUACACAGGUUUAAAUGGCUCUUAAAGAAGAACCAUGCCUCUGUUUCAACUGCUGAUACUGAGAACGCAGAAUGUAUGACCAUAACAAGGUCAAUUUGAAAAGAGUUAUUAUUCAAUAUAUAAGAUGCUGUGUUUUUUAACGUCUAGAGCAACAGUCCUGCAGUGCUGAGACGAAAUUAUGAUUUCCAGUUUUGAAGAGCUUUUCACUUACAGUUCCAAGUGCUGAGAAGAAAUUACGAUUUCCAGUUUUGAAGAGUUUUCCACCUCCAAGUAUAAAUGGCUGAGAUAUUGAGAUUAAACAGUAUGCCUGUGAUCUCACGCUGGAUCCAAACACGGUUCAUCCGAACCUCUUGCUGUCUGAGAGGAACCGCAAGGCGACGCACGUGAGAGAUCGUCAGCCGUAUCGGGAUCAUCCGGAGAGAUUCGACUGGCAGCCGCAGGUUCUGAGUGUUCAGAGUCUGACUGGACGCUGUUACUGGGAGACUGAAUGGAGCACGAGGAUGUGGGUUGAGAUAGCAGUGACCUAUAAAGGAACCAGGUAUAAAGGAGCUGACAAUGACUUUUUG